rnacentral:tRNA from 1 species
ACACUUUUAGUAUAAUUGUAAUAUGGUCAAUUAAGGUUUGAUAGAUUUUUUAGUGUU